UGAGGAAUAUUGGUCAAUGGGCGUUAGCCUGAACCAGCCAUCCCGCGUGCAGGAAGAAGGCCCUAUGGGUUGUAACCUGCUUUUUCGCAUGAAGAACACUCCGGACGUGUCUGGAGCUGACGGUAAUGCGUGAAUAAGCACCGGCUAACUCCGUGCCAGCAGCCGCGGUAAUACGGAGGGUGCAAGCGUUAUCCGGAUUUAUUGGGUUUAAAGGGUGCGUAGGCGGUAUUUUAAGUCAGUGGUGAAAUGCUGCAGCUCAACUGUAGAAUUGCCAUUGAAACUGAGGUACUUGAGUAAUCUUGAGGUAGGCGGAAUGUGUAGUGUAGCGGUGAAAUGCUUAGAUAUUACACAGAACACCGAUUGCGAAGGCAGCUUACUAAGGAUUUACUGACGCUGAUGCACGAAAGCGUGGGGAUCAAACAGG
rnacentral:rRNA from 1 species